rnacentral:rRNA from 1 species
GGGGAAUUUUGCGCAAUGGGCGAAAGCCUGACGCAGCAACGCCGCGUGUGUGAUGAAGGUCUUUGGAUUGUAAAGCACUUUCGACCGGGACGAAAACCCGAAGCCUAAUACGCUUCGGCUUGACGGUACCGGGAGAAGAAGCACCGGCUAACUCUGUGCCAGCAGCCGCGGUAAUACAGAGGGUGCAAGCGUUGUUCGGAAUUAUUGGGCGUAAAGCGCGCGUAGGCGGCUUUGCAAGUCGGGUGUGAAAGCCCUCAGCUCAACUGAGGAAGUGCGCCCGAAACUGCAGAGCUUGAGUGCCGGAGAGGGUGGCGGAAUUCCCCAAGUAGAGGUGAAAUUCGUAGAUAUGGGGAGGAACACCGGUGGCGAAGGCGGCCACCUGGACGGUAACUGACGCUGAGGCGCGAAAGCGUGGGUAGCAAAC